rnacentral:tRNA from 1 species
GCGGUUGUAGUACAUCGGUAGUACCCGGGCUUCCCAAGCCUGUGAGGCGGGUCCGACUCCCGUCAACCGCU